rnacentral:rRNA from 1 species
UCGAGGGGCAGCGGUGGUGAAGGCUUGCCUUUACCAGCCGGCGACCUGCGCACGGGUGAGUAACACGUAUGCAACCUGCCUGCCACAGCCGGAUAAUCGGGAGAAAUUCCGUCUAAUACGGCAUAAUGCAUCGACGGGACAUCCUGUUGGUGCCAAAGGUUAAUUCCGGUGGCGGAUGGGCAUGCGUCGCAUUAGUUAGUUGGCGGUGUAACGGACCACCAAGACGACGAUGCGUAGGGGUUCUGAGAGGAAGGUCCCCCACACUGGUACUGAGACACGGACCAGACUCCUACGGGAGGCAGCAGUGAGGAAUAUUGGUCAAUGGGCGGGAGCCUGAACCAGCCAAGUCGCGUGAGGGAUGACGGCCCUAUGGGUUGUAAACCUCUUUUGCCGGGGAGCAAAGUGCCGCACGUGUGCGGUUUGGAGAGUACCCGGAGAAAAAGCAUCGGCUAACUCCGUGCCAGCAGCCGCGGUAAUACGGAGGAUGCGAGCGUUAUCCGGAUUUAUUGGGUUUAAAGGGUGCGUAGGCGGACGCUUAAGUCAGCGGUAAAAUUGCGGGGCUCAACCUCGUCGAGCCGUUGAAACUGGAGACCUUGAGUGCGCGGAAGGCAGGCGGAAUUCGUGGUGUAGCGGUGAAAUGCUUAGAUAUCACGAAGAACCCCGAUUGCGAAGGCAGCCUGCCGCAGCGUUACUGACGCUGAAGCUCGAAAGCGCGGGUAUCGAACAGGAUUAGAUACCCUGGUAGUCCGCGCGGUAAAC